rnacentral:lncRNA from 1 species
GUCGGAGACAUUCUUAUAGAUUUAUUUGUGUUUGUUAACCGUCAUGCUCCAUGCUGUUUAGCGGAUUUGAGGCCAGAACCAGCCAUCAUAACCACACAAUAUGCAAGUUUUACUUGUGCAUGUGUUAACCUGUCACCAGCAACAAUCUCAGGAUCAUCGCUUGGAUAGAAAGCAGCCCUGUCAACUGAAUGUGACAUUUUCAAUCGAGUUACAGAUCUAUCUUUUUUCCCUUUCUUCAAAUGUCCUCGUGUAUGCCCAUGUGAAUGUGGGUGCAUUCACGAGGACACCCUUUUAGGCUUUUACCCUAUCCCGUCUGGUGACUGGUGACAUUCAACUCUUCAUCGGAUGGAUGGAGCAACUGUAGAUGCCUGGCUGUAUUUCCCAGGCAUAAAGGUAGGACAAAAUUGAUCUCUAUUCUUCCUUUUUGGCAAUUUUUGGUGGCGUUGAUUGUAAAUCGUUACGUAGUCACGGAGUACGUUUAUUCCUGAGCUAGGCGGUCGACUGCUGCAACUGUUUUCUCUCUCCGUUUUUGUUUUUUUCUCAGUAAGGGUUCACUAAAAAUC